rnacentral:lncRNA from 1 species
AGUGUUAAGGACAGAAAUCAUGCUGUGCCUGCAACAAAUGUACACCUUCAUAGCUGGGGCUUGGUCAUAGGAGGUUUGAUUUCAUUGCCCACUAAUGUUAUCUUGUAUCUUUCAAACUCAGUACAGGAUCCUGCCCAGUCCCCUACUGCUGAUCCACAAGGUUCUUUGUCAGAGCUGCCAGCCUCGUGUGGAUAUUUCAGAGGAUUUGUCAAAUGGUGUUCAUUGUUUCUAUUAAUGCAGCUGAGUUGCACCGAGAACGUCCACUUUAAUAUUAGUCUUCUGAGUAAGAUGUGGAAGUUUGAAAUUGCAUUCCAUGGUCCUGUGCCACAUUUCAUCAGCGUUUUUCCUUUGCUUUCUCCAAAGACUGGCCACAUGUGGUGUGUAGAUUGCUGGUGCUGUUUGGGAUCUCAUAUCAAAUACUGCUACCUAAUCCCAGGCGGGCCUUGGCGGGCCCACACCUGCAGCUGAUUGAAUCCUCCCGGAGUACAAAGGCCUGAUUUACAGCAUCAAGGAUACAGGGCCUGGUUGCAGCUGGGCUCCAGCAGGAAAAGGAAGUUGUUCAUCAUCUUGUGUGCAUUUCAUUAACAAUAGUGUACCCGAUAUGUAGCUUAUACAAUAAUUUCAAAUCACUGACAGAGAGCAUUAUGGUAUUUGGCAUUAGGAGGAAAAAUACUUCAGGAUGGGCAAAUUAAAUGUGAGCGUGAGGUUUUCAUGUGACCCACUGAAGGUCCACAAGCUGAUUUACACUGGAAGGGCUAAUAUUGAAAUAUUUUAUUUAUUUAACUUUAUCCCAUUUCUUUCACUUUGUCUGAUGAAUGGGCUGGUACAGCAUGUGAGCCUCAGUGUACAAGCAUGGGAGAAAGUUAUAGCCGUUUUCAGAACAAGCAACCCCAAAGUUAUGUUAAAGUAAGAGGUGACUAUGACUACAAGACUAUUGUCUUUAAAAACAGGGAACUCAAGGUUCAGAAAAGAGUUUUUAGAUAAAUUCCCUUAUCUUGGUGCACAAAUGGAUUAAUCUGAUGAACAUUUCAGAUGCCCAUAUUUGCAUUAGCUGUAUAGAUAUGGGAGGAAACGAACAUGGUUAAUAUGUCAUUCUUCAAGCCUACAUGUCCUACCCAUACACAGAGUACAGUAACAUGAAUUCAGAAGAGGUCGUGGGUAUUUGUUUCCUGGCAGAACAAACUUUUCUGUCCUGGCUGUGGUCUGAAAUGUUUCUGAUUGAACAGUCAGUGAUGUGGUUUAUCUAUAAUAGUUGAUUAUUUACAAGAAAAUGUAAUUCUUUAUUCUUAUUCAAAAACUUUUGAAUUUUGUUGAGUGUUUAGAUCUCCAUCCUAUUUUAUAAAGUAAAAUGUUUUCUUAUUUCAACAGAAAAAAAAAUUAUUUGUCAAAAUGGGGUAAUUGUAUUCAACUUUCCCCAAUCAGAAGACUGCCAGAAGACUCACAGAAAUGGCUUGCAUAUUUGAGCCCU